ACAGUAACUAAUACUGCGCUCCACCGUAUUGGCGGUAAAAAAAGGAGGAACCGUAGCUCGCGGGUCAGCAUUGUGGAGACGUGCUGAGAAUGCCUCAUAUCCUUUGUGUCGGUAUGAGGUGAGGCAGGAAUCCGGAGGGAGAACUGUCAGAGCAAGUCAAUGUCG
rnacentral:ncRNA from 1 species